UACGAAGGGGGCUAGCGUUGCUCGGAAUCACUGGGCGUAAAGGGUGCGUAGGCGGGUCUUUAAGUCCGGGGUGAAAUCCUGGAGCUCAACUCCAGAACUGCCUUUGAUACUGAGGAUCUUGAGUUCGGGAGAGGUGAGUGGAACUGCGAGUGUAGAGGUGAAAUUCGUAGAUAUUCGCAAGAACACCAGUGGCGAAGGCGGCUCACUGGCCCGGUACUGACGCUGAGGUGCGAAAGCGUGGGGAGCAAACAGG
rnacentral:rRNA from 1 species